GGAAAAAUAAGAAAAGCUGCCUUGAAAGCACCACAAUUAAGGGUUAAACCCCCUUUUUUUCCG
rnacentral:tRNA from 1 species